rnacentral:lncRNA from 1 species
AUGGCGGGUGGAGGCCCAGGUCGGAGGAAUCUGAGUGUCACCCUGGGUGACUUUCUGGGGUGCUUGCCCCUUCCGGAGGCGGCGGCAGAGCCUCCCUCCCAGGUGCAUCCUGGGGUCACAGCCGAGGGCGGCACCGGAACCUGCUGGCGUCACUCAGAGCCGCUGAGGACAGGACGGAAUGUUCCCACUGCCGCCCAGCCCCAGCGUGGGAGCGGCUGCCCGGCAGCCCGCCCCCUCCUUUGUUUAUUUGUUUGCUUAGGCUUUUCUUGUUUGAGUUACAGAAGUGCCAUUGAAGAGGGAGUGCCCUGCGGCCGCCUGGCCACAUGCUUAGUGGACGCUGCCAGCGGGACCCGCAGCCAGCGCAGGGUGGCACCGCCCGCCCGCCCCCAGCACCCAGCUGGCCCUGUGCAGUGCGUCAUCUGCCUGGGUUUGCUUCUGCGUGACCUUGUGCAGGAGAGCCAAGGCCAGUUUUGUGGACUUACCCGCCUGACAGCAGACUCUUCACUGCCCAACGAAGGACCAAAGUGGACAGAGGAGCCUGGGGCUUUCUGGGGCCAGGAGCAUUGCGUUGCUACUUGUGGCUCACAAUUGAAGAAAGAUCGCUGUCCUGUAAGGACGUGGGGCUGUGGACGGGCUGGGACCCUGCACCUCAGCCUCCCCAUGCCCUCGCCCAGGCCCCAUGCUCACUGCCCAUCUGGAGCCCCGGACUUGGCUCCAGCCUUGAGUGGCCCUGGCGCCCCAGCCCUGCAGACGCUUCUGGAGGGUUCAAGGCCUUUCUGCCUCCAGCCAGGGCUAUGGCGGCACCAUGGGCACAAGCUGCCCACGUAGCUGCUGUCCCUUUUCUGCGAUGUCCCUGUGUGCCAGGCACAGACCACACGGUGCCUGCAUCCACGAGCCUUGCUUGAAGGACAGCGGGACGCACUCUUCCAGCUUUAAGGAGACCUUGACCGCAGCCUGAGGGUCCCGCAUGGGACACCCAGGCCACCAGCUGACACCGCUGAUCCUGGCUGAGAGGCUCCGGUGUCAGCCCCCGGCCCAGGGAGGGGAAGCAGUUCCCACAGGCUGUGAGCAGUGGCUCUGGGAAAGGGCAGGUUGCUGAGUGGGGAGCCGAGACGGGAUGAGAGGACAGAGCAUCACCAGGGGGUGUGGGGAACAAGGCACAGCCAGCAGUAACGUGCCCUGCAUGUCCUGCAGGCCCGCCUGUAGCUUCCACCUCGUUUUUUGUCCCCCCGGGGCUGGUAUGGGCAGGACCUUGACCUUGGCUUACCUCACACCUGUCUGCCUCCUCCACCCCAUACAGGUGCCUGCCCACAGGUGUCCAGGACUGUCACUAAGUCCUUGUAAAGGUGGCUUUCCCAGGCAUGCCGGGUGUCCUUACAGCCAUCUUUCAGGGGUCUCCUGUGGAAAGCGGGAGGUCUCUGCGGUGAGGACCGCUGGGGGUUAGGAGCAGGCACCCACCCCUGUCCAGGAGGAGGCAUAGCAGGGACAGAAAAUGCUUAGCGCCCCGAGGGUGGAGACACAGCCGUGACAGGGCACCUCAGGACUCCUACCAGGACUGUCACUGUGCAUCAGGACCCCCCAGGCCCUGCGCCUCAUGCUGGUCCUGUCCCAUCCUCUCCCCUGCAGUUGUGCGGAAGUUGCCUGAGCUGCUGACCCGGCACCAAUAAAUCUAUGUUUCCAAACUUCAGCAAUUCCAUGGCUUGUUUUGUUU